GGCCACGCCCGGGGCAGCCCUGCGCAGCCUGGUUUGCCUCCAGGCUCGCCCGUCAGUCCAGUGAGAGGAUCGACAGACCCCCCCAAACCACAGGACCACGGCUCCCCCCUACCCCGAGCCGGAGGGCUCACUGCUGCAACACGGAGACGACCUCUGGGGCUGGGUUUGAAUCGUGCCCCUUGUCAGCCGUGUGAUCCUGAGCCUUGGCCCCUGGUGACUCCCGGGUCGCAGAGAUGGACAGACCCGAGGGAAGUGGGCUGCGGCCCGCGGCCAAGCCCUGCAGCGGAGCCGUGAAGCGAGGAUAAUGAAGCGGAACAAACAGGCAGUAGGAGGAAGACUUUAAAGACAGCAAGUGAGCAUGGGUUGAUCUCAAGAUGAACUGGAACGGAAGAAAUCGAAAUUAGAAACCAAAUGUCCAUAUUUCAGAGAAAAGAACUUUACCAUUGAUCAGUUGCCCUGGGCAGUAAGAAACAGAUCGGGCACAAACUGGCUUAAGCUGGAAGCAAACGAAUUAGUUCACGUAGAAGGUGUCAACAGCAGGGUGGGCUUCAGGGUGGGUGGAUUCAGAGGCUUGAGGGCGUCAUUCUGUUCCUCGGUUCCAUUCUGUCUCUCCUCGCUGUCCUCCAUAGCACCGCCUCAUGCUAAGUCUGGUUCCCUUGUGUUCGAAUGGUGGCUGCCAAUGGCAGUCGGGACACGUGUUUUCUUUCCCACCCAGGGAGGGAGAAGAAGAGGCUAGAUACCCAUGACAGAUUCUUCCCUGGCGUCCCCAGGAGCCUCUCCUCAUGACUCAGGGGCCUCCCAGAGAGGAGAUGGUGGUCUCAGGCUUGCGAAGACCCAUCUGCUGGCGCGGAGUGGAUAUAGCCUCUAGGAUCACACGAAGAGGUUUCAGCUGUGCUGGGGCUUCCCCACUUUCAUGUUCUUUGAGUGUCAACUAAUGGGGCUGUUCUGUUUGUCUAUUGCUAUACAACAAAUGACCCCAAACUUAGUGGCUUGAAGAUACAGUCAUUUUAUUAUAUCUCCCAAUUUACGGGUCGUGAAUUCAGGCAGGACCCAGCUGAGAGAUGCUUCAGCAUCACAUGGCUUGGGCUGGGGUCACUCAGCGGUAUUUGGCUGGCAGCCAGGCUGGUCCGAGGGUCCUAGGAUGUCAUCACUCACAUGAUUGGCACCCUGGCGAUACUGGGGGCUGGGCUCAGGUGGGCGCCUCUCCCUCGUUGUGUGGGCCCUCUCCAUGUGGUCUCUCCAGCAGAGGAGCUGGACUUCUCACGUGGUGGCUCAGUUUGCUACACAGCUGCAAGUGACAGAGAAAUUGUGAAAUACAAGAUGAUUCCCAAUGAUUUGACAUGUCAUCUCCACUGUCCAUAAUAAACAAAAAGAAACGGGCAUUCAAUUUUAAUAAUAGAUGCUUUGUUUUUCUCCAUGCCCCCUAAAUAGAUGUGUCCAUUUUAAAAAAUAUCUGUUUGAAGAGAUGCUGCUUUGCCAUACUGUCCAGGGUGCCGGCGUCGCUGGCUCACCCUGUAUGGUAUGACUGUGGGGUUAUCUUUCCUUCCCAUCACCCCUGCUUGGUCUAGGGCAUCAUCACGUCUCCCAUGCUAUCCCAGUAGCCUCCAGCUGACCCUCUGGCCACCAGUCUCACCCCCUUCCACUCAUCCUCUACAUGUUUUCCAGUGUGAUUUUUCUGAAACAAAUCUGCUCAGACCAUUCCCUUGUCUAAAGUCACUAUGGGGUUCUCUUUUACCAACCAGAUAAAAUUC
rnacentral:lncRNA from 1 species